UACAGAGGUCUCAAGCGUUGUUCGGAUUCAUUGGGCGUAAAGGGUGCGUAGGCGGCGCGGUAAGUCGGGUGUGAAAGUCUCGGGGCUUAACUCCGAAACUGCAUUCGAUACUGCCGUGCUUGAGGACUGGAGAGGAGACUGGAAUUUACGGUGUAGCGGUGAAAUGCGUAGAUAUCGUAAGGAAGACCAGUGGCGAAGGCGGGUCUCGUGGA
rnacentral:rRNA from 1 species